rnacentral:rRNA from 1 species
GACAGAGGGUGCAAGCGUUGUUCGGAAUCACUGGGCGUAAAGCGCACGUAGGCGGCUCGAUAAGUCAUAUGUGAAAUCCCAGGGCUUAACCCUGGAACUGCAUGUGAUACUGCCGAGCUUGAGUUCCGGAGAGGUUGGUGGAAUUCCUGGUGUAGAGGUGAAAUUCGUAGAUAUCAGGAGGAACACCGGUGGCGAAGGCGACCAACUGGACGGAAACUGACGCUGAGGUGCGAAAGCGUGGGGAGCAAACAGG